AAAACGCAACCGUGUCCGUUAUUGUAUCGUACCUAACAGUAAUUUCUUAUUUCUCGUGUCUCUUUCCAUACUUCGCCUGCAGAGGAACACGAAGUUUGCGUCGGAUCUAAGGGAAAACCAUACGCACACAGGAAACGUUCUUUACAAACUAAGCUAUUCUCACCAAACAGCUCCUAAUCAUCACCGAGACUCCGAGACAACGACGAAUAGAUCGAAGCCCAAUCAAGCCAAGGCAUCCUUCAUUUCUUCAAUCCAACUCUUUGAGGGAGGAUUUAUUGGUGAUUGAGACUUCGAGGAGAGGAGGUGAUUGACCAGGAGUCGUUGUGGGAUCUGAAACGAAGUGGAUCAGAUGGACAAGAAUAAGAGCCGUACUGAUAUGCUCGCUGCUGGUCGUAAAAAGCUUCAACAAUUUCGUCAGAAGAAGGACAAUAAAGGUAGCAGCAGUCAUGGAAAGUCAUCCAAAAUGUCUGGCAAAUCAGAGCAGCAUGAAUCUUAUACUGAUGCAGUAUCAAAUGCUUCCAACUCAACAGCAUUGCCACAGGUUCAUGAAGGGGAAAAUGUUUCUAACAUCAAUCCCAAUUUGGGAGUUGAAGAUUCUUCAUUUUCUCAUUCAAUAGAGAAUUCUGUGGCUUCUGGUGUCGAUAUUGCGGCUGUUGAUCCAUUGUCAAUUCCCAUGAUAACUGACACAUCAUCGAUUGAUGACAC
rnacentral:misc_RNA from 1 species